CUUGACUGUAGCCUGGAAUUGGGUUCGGGCUUUUCUUGCGCAGCCUAGGUGGGAGGCUAUGAAGCUGCCCUUGUGGGGGCAGUGGAGUCAUCAGUGAGAUACCACUCUGUCAAGGCUAGAAUUCUAACCGUCUGCCGUUAUCCGGCGACGGAACAGUAUCAGGUGGGCAGUUUGACUGGGGCGGUCGCCUCCUAAAUGGUAACGGAGGCGCGCAAAGGUUCCCUCAGGCUGGUUGGAAAUCAGCCGAAGAGUGUAAAGGCAGAAGGGAGCUUGACUGCAAGAGCAACAACUCAAGCAGGGACGAAAGUCGGCCUUAGUGAUCCGACGGCGCUGAGUGGAAGGGCCGUCGCUCAACGGAUGAAAGUUA
rnacentral:rRNA from 1 species